ensembl:lncRNA
GGGGGUGGACAACAAUUCUGCUCAACUCGGGAAACUGAUCUCUGGUCGACCACAAAAUAAGGUAAGCAAAAACCUGUUAAAUCAAAUUUUGCAUAUUGUCGUAUAGUCAUACCAAAUUACGAUCAGUAGUACCGAGUGUGGGUAAGAAUUUUUGUGUAAAUUUAACGUAAAUAAUUGACUUGAAAUUGACAGUGAAGUGAACAUAUGUGGUAAUUAAGGUAGACCUAAAUUGUGUUAACGCUAGAAUAUUCCGAUAGUCCGGCUUGAGAACGGUCCGGCUGGGUCCGGUAAGGGAUAAAAUGUCAAUAUAGAAUAUUCCGAUAGUCCGGCUUGAGAACGGUCCGGCUGCGUCCGGUAAGGGAUAAAAUAGUCAAUAUAGAGUUGCUACCGAUAGUCCGGCUAGUGACCGGUCCGGCUUGUGUCCGGUAAGGUGUCUACAUAACUGUUUACUGUGUUUGAGAAUUUGUAAUCAAACUGUAGUGUUAAUCCGUUUCGAUUGAAUUGCACGAUUUAGAAAUUACAUUGACUGAAUGAAAUGUGUUGAUUCCUGUGGUCAAAAUAAUUAGUUAAAAUGGUUCUGUAAAUUGCAAACGGUGUUCCACGAGACCCUGCGGUGGAUAACUUAAAAUAUUUAGAAAUAAUAUAUCCGUUCAUACAUUGGCUCUGAUAAAAUACAUCGGGACAAGUUAAAACCUAUUAGAAUAAAUAUUCGGCUGCAAUAACAAUUAUAAAAUGGCGACCCCCAAUACUCCCAAGCUAAGAUAGCCAAGGUGUGUGCAGGUACAAAAUUGACAUGGGUGGAGGCCCUGCCCCUGGCAUUGAUGGCCAUGAGGUCCUCACCAGGUGCAGGGACCCACCUUUCACCCCAUGAAAUAAUGACAGGCAGAGUAAUGCCAGGGCCGCCAAGAGAGGGAGGUCAUAUGCCCCCUCUUGAUGUGCACCAGAUAUGCAUGACUGACUAUGUAAAGAAAUUGACAGAACUUUCUGCAGCUCUCUCCAAACAGAUACACAGAGUCCAAGAGGGGGAGCUGACAGGAGAUCCAGAGCAACCAAGGGUAAAGGUCGGAGAUUGGGUAAGGAUCAAGGUCCACAAGAGAAAGUGGCAGGAUCCCAGGUGGACUGGACCGUACGAAGUGAAGGAGGUUACUUCACACUCAGUCCAGGUCAAAGGUAAAUCAGGGGCGCCUUGGCACCACUUGACUCAUUGCACCCCAGCUUCGAUUCCCAACAGAACACUGACAGAGGUCAGGGUCGACUUGAGCGACUUAAAUUCGGCUCCAAUACAACCCGAUUAGCAGGUGACGAUGUGGACCAGACUCCCAUCGGCAUCGGCUAAUGGGCCUCCUAGGGAUAGGGGUUAUCCCUGGACUAGACUGGGCAUAUCUGGCCCCGGUUUAUUUGUGUGUUUGUAAAUGCAUAUGUCUACUGAAUGAUAAAUUGAACGAAUGUUUAGACAAUGUUUUAGAUGUGUUGACUAUAUUGAGUGAAUGUUCAAACGAUGUUUUAGAUGUGCUCUGGCGUAAAUGAAGAUUUGUGAGACUCAAAUCGUGUGCAUGAAAUACGCUUGAUAUUCAGUCGGGGACUAAUAUCGGUAUGAAUGAGGUCGGGGACCAAGCGAGUGUGGUACAUUAGGUAUUUCAGUUGGAGCUGGUACCGGUGAGAAUGUUGAAAAAGUCGCAGGCUUGCUGAUGAGAGUUAUAUCAUAGAAUAUUGAGGGGGGUGCAUGACUGUUGGAAAAAGUGUUAAACUCUAUUAACGUAAAAUUAUU